AAAAUCCUUUGGAUCAGUGAUGAUGGCUGCACCACUAAUGAAAAUGCAGGUCCUGAAUUUUCGUGAAGCAGCCCACAGGGUUACAGGCCAAUGAUUCGAACGCUGAGGUGAACACUUAGUACUCACAUUUGAGCUUCAAAAGAAAAAUAAAGCAGAGGACAAACGCCUGUCACAGCGUGGCAGCCUGGUUCAUUUGGUAACAGAAGAAGUCUCACACAUCGGCUGAGCCCACCGGAGAGAAGCACACAGGCCAGCUUCCUUCUGAACACAGCCGGGCACCUGUUCAAAAGCCUCUCUGGUGGUGGCGGUGGACCCCAAAACCCACGGGUUGGAAGAGCCUUUGGGAAAGCAAAUUGAUACCCUGAUUGCAGUCCUUGAAGAAAUCACUUAGGGUUAGUUUAAUAAACGAACAUUAAAAAAUCUUCCAAAAAUUGCAUUCAAAUGUAUUUUACACUUUAGGCAGUUCUUAAGAAGGGAGAGUGCGGUUUCUUGACACUUAACAUUUAAAGGUUUUAUUGGCCACAUUAAUCUUCCUCACAAAAGUUUUAAGUUAUCUAUAAGUUCUUAGAAUGUCAAAGAAGAGAAGAAAAACUGACUAACUUUAAGGGGCGGUGGAAGAAGCAGCAACUUGGCAAUAAUUCUGCAGCCGACUUCGCGUGUUCAGGCAUCCUUUUUCUCCAGUAAAAUUUUGUGCAACUCGUCUGCGUCCUCGCUGGUUUUUACCCGAAUCAACAUGGUGACUGGCAUGGUGGCAUUCUUCUCGUCAAUUGGUGGAUUUGGAACACAGACGAUAAGAACGUUAUUCUUCCCUGUUCGCGUACAUGGCAUAUUGGGUGGAAUCAGAACGUUCAG
rnacentral:lncRNA from 1 species